AUACUUACCUGGCAGGGGAGAUACCAUGAUCACGAAGGUGGUUUUCCCAGGGCGAGGCUUAUCCAUUGCACUCCGGAUGUGCUGACCCCUGCGAUUUCCCCAAAUGCGGGAAACUCGACUGCAUAAUUUGUGGUAGUGGGGGACUGCGUUCGCGCUCUCCCCUG
rnacentral:snRNA from 14 species